CAGUAGCCGCGGUAAUACGGAGGAUGCGAGCGUUAUCCGGAUUUAUUGGGUUUAAAGGGUGCGUAGGCGGCCUGUUAAGUCAGCGGUGAAAUCUAGGAGCUUAACUCCUAAAUUGCCAUUGAUACUGGCGGGCUUGAGUGUAGAUGAGGUAGGCGGAAUGCGUGGUGUAGCGGUGGAAUGCAUAGAUAUCACGCAGAACUCCGAUUGCGAAGGCAGCUUACUAAGGUACAACUGACGCUGAAGCACGAAGGCGUGGGGAUCAAGCAGGAUUAGAGACCCCUGUAGUCCCUGUCUCUUAUAC
rnacentral:rRNA from 1 species